rnacentral:rRNA from 1 species
AGCACCCUACCAGGUCUCGACAUCCUUUCCCCCCACUAAACAUAGCUCUUCCCCCAUCGGGGGACAGAGUGACAGGUGGUGCAUGGGUGUCGUCAGCUCGUGUCCUGAGAUGUUGGGUUAAGUCCCGCAACGAGCGCAACCCUUGAUCUUAGUUCCCAGCACUCAGUUGGGCACUCUAAGGUGACUGCCGGUGACCACCCGGAGGAAGGUGGGGAUGACGUCAAAUCAUCAUGCCCCUUAUGACCUGGGCGACACACCUGCUACAAUCCAUGGUACAAAGGGCUCCAAACCUGCGAAGGUAAGCGAAUCCCAUAAAGCCAUUCUCAGUUCCGAUUGCAGGCCGCAACUCGCCUGCAUGAAGCCGGAAUCGCUUGUAAUCGCGGAUCAGCAACCGCCGUGAAUACGUUCCCGGGCCUGGCACACACCGCCCGUCACACCACGAGAGUUUGUAACACCCUAAGUCAGGU